AAUUGAACGCUGGCGGCAUGCCUUCCUUUUGCAAGUCGAACGGCAGCACGGGUGCUUGCACCUGGUGGCGAGUGGCGAAGGGGUGAGUAAUACAUCGGAACGUACCUUAUCGGGGGGGAUAACGCAGCGAAAGUUGCGCUAAUACCGCAUACGCCCUGAGGGGGAAAGCGGGGGACCGUAAGGCCUCGCGCGAUUAGAGCGGCCGAUGUCUGAUUAGCUUGUUGGUGAGGUAAAAGCUCACCAAGGCGAUGAUCAGUAGCUGGUCUGAGAGGACAAUCAGCCACACUGGGACUGAGACACGGCCCAAACUCCUACGGGAGGCAGCAGUGGGGAAUUUUGGACAAUGGGGGCAACCCUGAUCCAGCAAUGCCGCGUGAGUGAAGAAGGCCUUCGGGUUGUAAAGCUCUUUUGUCAGGGAAGAAACAGCAGCUCUAACACAGUCUGCGAAUGACGGUACCUGAAGAAUAAGCACCGGCUAACUACGUG
rnacentral:rRNA from 1 species